UACGGAGGAUCCGAGCGUUGUCCGGAUUUACUGGGCGUAAAGGGAGCGUAGGCGGACUUUUAAGUGAGAUGUGAAAUACCCGGGCUUAACUUGGGUGCUGCAUUUCAAACUGGAAGUCUAGAGUGCAGGAGAGGAGAAUGGAAUUCCUAGUGUAGCGGUGAAAUGCGUAGAGAUUAGGAAGAACACCAGUGGCGAAGGCGAUUCUCUGGACUGUAACUGACGCUGAGGCUCGAAAGCGUGGGGAGCAAACAGGAUUAGAUACCCUGGUA
rnacentral:rRNA from 1 species